rnacentral:lncRNA from 1 species
AAUGCCCACAAUAUUCUUUUUUCUUUUAAAGAUUUUUCUUGCUGAGUAACUUCUUAGACAUUACGACUGACUAUCGUUUAACCCCUCGUGUAUGUCUAUGUGGCUUCCCUUAUGUUACUGGUUUUACAUCAUGAGAUCGUCUGGUUCUUCUUUCAGCAGUUUGAAGAGACCGGAGUUGGUGGUAGAUAAGUCCUCCUUGUCCUUAAGGGUAUCUACUAUAGAGGUCACUGAAGGAAGCUCCUCUGUGACAUUAGUGACAGACUCUGUUGUCUCGUUUUCAGGCAAAUCUGUGGUGUUCACAUGUGAUUCCUCCAUGACGUUGUCAGUUUCUGAGGCAGUGACAAUAAAGUCAUACCUCGAUUCCACAGCAGUGAGCAGAACAGCAUGGGACUCUGCCUCACUUGCAGUUUCUUUUUCCAUCCAAUCAUUAGCUCCAUCAGUCGAUUCCUCAUCAUUUAAAGGAUCUUCCACAUUAUCUUUGGCUUUUUCAGCCGAGUUAGUGAGUUCAAAAACAGUGAUAAAUUUUUCUUCUUCGGAGUCACUUAGUUUAGUCACAGUUUUGGGCCUAUCUUCUGAAACAAUCAAUUUGAUCUCAGUUACAUUCUCUUCUGCAAUGUUGGUUAUGUCUGGAAUGGUGGUGACCUCCUUUUCAGUUGAGGGGGGGACUCCAGCCUCAGGACUAAAGGAGUCAGUGACCUGAACAGCUCCAUCAUCAGGAGCAUCUGAGGUGGCAGAGGAAGGAACAUCAGUUUCAGUGCUUUCAUCUGGAAAUCCAGAGGCAUCCUCCACAUCAGCAGCACUGUCCUCUAGUGUGCCAGAGAACUCAGUAGUGGGUACGACUUCUUUUUCUCCUGUGUCAAUGGUGGUUAAGAAGAUAUCUUCUUUUGCCGUGUUACUGGAAAAAUCUAUUAAAGAAACAGUACCAACUGGGGAUGAGGUGUGAGCUUGUUGACUGUAGUUGAAAAAUCACCAUCCGGUGUGCAGUCAUUUACUGAAGUAACGUGGUCUCCUUCCGAGGUAAUAGUUGUUUCUGAUUUAGGAAUGGUGUUGUCAGCCCCAAAGAAAAUGUCUGCUUCCGUUGGUGUUUUACUGUUGUCUCUUGGAGGUCGAGAAUAAAUUUUGGGCGAUCCAUCUUCAGCCAUGGGGCAGAGGGGCACUGAGCACUCUCACAGAUCUUUCCUCUGGGCUUAGUGGCAUCCCUGGGCAAG